UGCAGGCAUGUUGCUUACAUGCCUUAAAUGAUGAAGAAGCAGUUUAUAGUAGGUUAGUUGCCAUGUAAACAUGCUCAUUGUAUUGUCAUGUGUAUACAGUGUUCAGCUGAAGAGAAAUAGAUCACAACCUUUUGAUUCCAAGUGCUUGCGGCUGACUAGUUAAUUUUGGUGGUUUCACGAGCUCUUCUUUUCUCCUUCCAGAGAAAGAUUUGAUAUUUUUAAGGAAACAUCAUAAAUAUUUAAAAGGAGAUGCCCAACCGCUGUUUAAAUGUAAAGAUGGCAGCACUGUGUGACUACUAUUCUUGAAAAGACUAAGCAGAUUGGAGUCUAUUGUUAGACAAUCGCCCAGAAGCAAGAAUCCUCUACCAAAUACAUAUAGCAGCACUACACAGGAAAAGUGUAAAAAUACAAAAUAACAUGUUAAAGGCAAUCAAUUCUGGCAACUGGACUUUAGGUCAAAGAUAAAGAAGAAGAAGAAAAAAACAGCUCAUGUUUGCAAGCAAAUUUGCUUAUAUUAAGACUUUGCUUAUCAGAAGGUCACAAAAGUUGAUCGCAUGACCAUGGGACACAGCAACAGUCAUAACUAUGAACCAGUUGCCAAACAUCUGAAUUGUGAUCACAUGACCGUGGGGAAUGCUAUAAUGAUUGCUGAAGCUUGCAAGAGGUUGAACAACUAGCCUUAUGGUGUGACCGGAACAAUAUUUAACUAAACACACUCAAACUGUAGAAAUGAUGGUAGAUUUUAGGAGAAACCCUCCUCUAUUACCACGUCUUACAAUACUAGACAACGCAGUACCACAGUAGAGAUCUUCAAGUUUCUAGGUUCUAUAAUAUCUCAAGACUUAAAAUGGACACCUAACAUCAAAAACAUCAUCAAACAAGCACAACAAAGAACGUUCUUUUUGCUCCAACUCAGAAAGCUCAGACUGCCCAAGGAGCUCCUGAUCCAGUUCUACAGAGCAAUCCUUGAGUCUAUCAUCUGCACCUCUACAACUGUCUGAUUUGGCUCUGCAACCAAACAAGACUGACACAGACUUCAACGGAUAAUUAGAACUGCAGAAAAAACAAUUGCUACCAACCUGCCUUCCAUUGAGGACUCUGUAUACAGCACGAGUCAGAAAGAGGGCUGUGAAAAUAUCUACAGAUCCCCUCACAACAGGAGUGAAAUGCUCCUGGUUCAUAUUUUAUGAUUUAUCAUUAAUGUAUUUUUAUGAUGACUAUGAUCAUGAUUUAUCACUUACAGCUUUUACGUACACUGAGAGCUUAUGCACCGAAGACAAAUUCCAUGUGUGUCCAAUAUCGGUGACCAAUAAAGAAUUCUUUUCUGUUCUGUUCUGUUC